rnacentral:rRNA from 1 species
UUAAAACGCCCGUAGUUGGAUCAGCGGAUUUGGAGAACGGUCUGCCGAUGGGCUGUACUGUUCUCCUGUCCUAUUUUCUCUAGUUCGCUCUAGGUGCUCUUCACUGAGUGUCUAGAGUGGCUGGAACUUUUACUUUGAAAAAAUUAGAGUGCUCAAAGCAGGCGUCUCAGCCUGAAUAGUGGUGCAUGGAAUAAUGGAAUAGGACCUCAGUUCUAUUUUGUUGGUUUCGGAACAUGAGGUAAUGAUUAAGAGGGACAGACGGGGGCAUUCGUAUUGCGACGUUAGAGGUGAAAUUCUUGGAUCGUCGCAAGACGAACUACUGCGAAAGCAUUUGCCAAGAAUGUUUUCAUUAAUCAAGGACGAUAGUUAGAGGUUCGAAGGCGAUCAGAUACCGCCCUAGUUCUAACCGUAAACGAUGUCAACCAGCGAUCCGCAGGAGUUAUUCAUGACUCUGCGGGCAGCUCCCGGGAAACCAAAGUUUUUGGAUUCCGGGGGGAGUAUGGUUGCAAAGCUGAAACUUAAAGGAAUUGACGGAAGGGCACCACCAGGAGUGGACUGCGGCUUAAUUUGACUCAACACGGGGAAACUCACCCGGCCCGGACACCGUAAGGAUUGACAGAUUGAGAGCUCUUUCUUGAUUCGGUGGGUGGUGGUGCAUGGCCGUUCUUAGUUGGUGGAGCGAUUUGUCUGGUUAAUUCCGAUAACGAACGAGACUCUAGCCUACUAAAUAGAAGGCAAAUUAUUCGUUUGCUGUACUUCUUAGAGGG